AGGAGGAGAUACAGUGAUUGUAAAAGAGCUCCAUUUUGGAACUCUUCAUUCAGAACACAGAACAGCACUUCUCUUAGUGAAAGGCUUUAGUUUGCCUCUCAAUUCUUCUGGUACUGUGGAUAUCCUGUCUGACUCUACCUGCCUCUAAUCUUCUGAUGUGGGAGUGGGUUCUCCACAACUCCUUCAUUUGAAACAGCACUUCCAAAUGCCUGGAAAUUGCAACUGAACACAUGCUCAUGGGAAUGACUUACAGCUUACAAGAAUGGAGGCCACAAGCUAUAGCUACAGUUACAGAAUACAUCAUUUGAAUUUCUGUGUGAAAUUCACGAAGUCCAACCAUUAAUAAAUAGCUUGCUUUUCUAUUUUCUUCCACAUACCUUCAGUGAGGUCACCCAUAUGGAGAUCAACAACAACUUUUCUUGUGCUGCUUUUCAUGUGGGAGAUGAGGACUAAAGCCCUGGAGAUCUACUUCAUCAGACUCCCAUCAGCCGUAACUGAAGAUGCCUGUACUUGGAGUCACUUAAGAACUAAGACACACAUUAGCCUAAACUGGUUUCAGUGCUGAGCUUACCCUGUCUGUGUAUAUAAUUCUAUAUCACUCUGCUUGACAUUCAUAAUGGAGGGCAUGGUCAAGACAUUUCUCAGUGAUAACUUUCUGCUCUUCUUUUGUCCCAUAUAAACUUGCCUUCAACGUACAACAACUACAUGAAGUUCAGACAUAGCCUAGCUUUCUAUCAAGAUUGCAGCUAAAUUGUCCUACAUGAGAUUUUGAAUUGUUUAGUCCCAUGUGAAGGUUCAGAUGUGGAUGUAUGCUAGUGUGUAGGAUGGCAUUGAUUUGUGGCUACUGAUUCUCCUGUACAUAAUAAAAAACUGAGAAAGCAUUGACAUAGGAAAGAGUUUAUGUCUGUAAACAGGUUUCUAUGAUGCUCCUUGUGAUUUCUC